ACUAGUACGACAUAAAUAAUUAAACCAAGUUAUAUAAUCUGACUUUAGCGACCAAUAUUUAGCGGCAAUGACUCUAUUGUCGGUAACUUGAUUAACAAAAUAAAAAAUUUGGGACAAAUAGAGAUUGGUCCUUAUUAAUGAUAAUUGCCACCAAAAGCUCCACUUCACAGUUCGCGCCCCAUUGCGUUUUUCCUUCUCUUUCCGAUUCUUAUUUUUUACCCAUACCAUAUGUCCAUAUCUGACUGCGAAGGUGACAGAUUCUUCUUCCCUUUGAAAUUGGGAAGCAAUGGUGAGAGAAGCGGAGACGGCGGUGAAGGCCAGCAGAGGCGGUGGCGUCGAAUUCCGACGGUGCCGUCCAGAGGAAGCGGAGCUGCCUGUUCACCGCGACGGUGUGAUUCGAUCCCGUGGUUAAUUGAGAUGAAAUUAGGUUGAUUCGUUCCUAAACCUAGCUCCAAGGUAUGCAUUUCUGUCAAUUUACUGUAUCUCUCUAGCUUUCCGCAUACCCUAUUCUCUCGCUUACAGAGGAGUUGAAGGAGCAUGUGGUGGAAAAUGAAGUCACAACUUUGAAUGAUGGCGACUCCCAGGAUGAAGUAGACGAUGAAUAUGAUGACGACAAUGAAGUUGCGCGAAGAAGAGCUUGAUACAUUUUUUCUUGGUAAUGUUACUACUUUUCCUUCCUAUUGUGGCGGGAACUUUGUUAGUGCCGAUAUAAAAAAGAGAGCCAGAAAGAGGAGAUUCAUUUUUCUGUUUUCCUCCAGGUGGGUGAAUCUAAGUUUGUAUUUGAAGUUAAAACACUACAAAUGAUGGAGCUUCUUAUAUUUGGUAUACUGAGGUGUGCAAAUAAUUAAGCAGAUAGAAACUAGUUUGGAUAGUUUGGAUUAGAUAGAAAUAGUUUGGAUAGAAAUAAUUAAGAAAUAGUUUGGAUAGAAAGAUUUUAAGCAGAUAGAAACUAUUUGUGGUAAAUUGUUAUGAAUAAUAAAUUUUAGUAAUAUUGGCUUUGCAAAAUUUAUGAAAUAAGUUUAUACGUCUGCUGUCAGCAUCCUAGUAUAUAAUCAAAUAUAAAAAUAGCUUGGUUCUGAUUAGCCCAUCACUAGCUGAUAUAUGCAGGGACGGAACUAGAAAAUUUUAGUAAGGGGGGUAAAAAUUCAACACAUAUACACUUCUAUAUAAAUGAAAAUACAGUAGAAAAAAAUAUAAAAAGAAAAGAGAGAAAGUAAAAGAAUCAACAUAUAAUAUAAUUGAAAAAGAAAAGAGAUAAAUCAAAAAUAAAGUAAAAAUAAGAUAGAUGUAUUUCAACUCCUUCUAUUUCAAAAUAUAAGUUGUUUAAGUUUAUGCACGGAUUUAAAGAACUCAUCAUUUGAUAAAUAUUUUGACUGAAAUACCCAUAUUUAAAGUAGUUAUAUUAAGGGGAGAGAAAUAUGAUUAUUGAUUAAGUGCAUAGUUUGUCAUAAGUGAAAAAUGAAGGUGGUAGGUAAGAAAUAUAAUAUUAAAUAAAGGUAUAUAUGGAAGAAAAUGGGAAAAAAUACUUUAGAUUUACAAAAUAACAUAUAUUUUAGAACAUAGUAUGAAUAUGUUAAAACAACUUAUAUUUAGACAUAGAGAUAAUACCUACUAAUGAAUGUUUGUUAAUUAAAGCUAAGAAGAAAACCUGUUUUUUUUUUUACAUCGGUAGAACUAGAAGUGUGGCUCUCCCAAAUAGAGUUAUGAUAUAUAAACACAUCUCAACUUCUUUUCCACCUUCAUUUAUAUCUAUUUCUCUUUUCUCUAUCAAUCAAAUCAUUUAUCACAUCUUUACUUUUUCUCUCAUUUCUUCCUAUCUCUCUCUUCCUCCACCUCUCCACACAUCGAAAAUGAUGUGUGUACAUAUAAUUAUUCCUCCCAUAUACUAUAUUAAUAUACCUUAGUUUUUUUCAAGUUAAUAUAACAAGAGUAAGUCCCCGUCAAAAAAAAAUACAAGAGUAAGCAUUCAUGAAUAUCAAUAAAAAAGCAUGAGUAACCUAUGACUUUUCUUAUCAUAUCAGUCACUAGGGGCAGCUUUUUCUGAAAUUUACUUUCCUUUAACAUAGUAUAAUGAUAUAAAAAUGGAAGAGGUUGUGUAGAUUCAAUUAGUAACUAGCCAUAGGUUUUUAUACAGGGGGCGAAUCCAUGAUAUAUAGUACUACUAUAAAAGAAAUUUUUUUUGAAGAAGGGGGCGGGCGCCCCAUAUGAGAUGUACCUGGGUCCGUCCCUGGAUAUUAUUGGGGGAGACAGGGGAGCCCAUGGACCGAGGAGCAAGACACCAAGAGAUCUCGACGCCACAUCUUAACCCAAAACCUUAAGGCAGUAAGUUUAUGGGUCACAUCUCUUAUAAAGUCUUCUCCUCACCCAAACUUAACCAAUGUGAGACUCCAACUCCGCACUUGAAUUCUCAACAAUCUCCCCCUCAAGUGCGAGUCACCUCCACAUUAUCAUGGCCCUCCUCCGCGGAAGCUUAUCCACUCUUGCACCGCCGUUCACUUGCCAACGGAACCCGCCACCUAGCCACACUGCUAGGAAGACUUUCGACACAAGGAGCCGUCAUGGUCCCACGAACCAUCGGCUCUGACACCACUUGUUGGGGGAGACAGGGGAGCCCAUGGGUCGAGGAGCAAGACACCAAGAGAUCUCGACGCCACAUCUUAACCCAAAACCUUAAGGCAGUAGGUUUAUGGGUCACAUCUCUUAUAAAGUCUUCUCCUCACCCAAACUUAACCAAUGUGGGACUCCAACUCCGCACUUGAAUUCUCAACAGAUAUAUGCAAGGCUUGGUUUAGAUGAGUUCUAACGCUUAUCUUAUUCAUGCCAGUAGUAUACAGGUAAGGAUAUGAUGACCAUCCAUGACCAUGACAUGGGCAAGGCUUGAUUUGGUAUCAGAUUAUCAAAUUAGGUUUGCAAUUGAAAAUAGAACUUCUGAUUAUGACAAGGAAAAGUUACUGGAAAGGUUAGCCAAGAUUUAUGGUGGUGUUGCAGUGCUAAAGUUGUGGCCAUUGAAAGAACAAAAUUCUAUAGAGAAAGGGCUGCUGGAAUUUAUGCUCCUUUGCCUUAUUCCAUAGCACAGGUUGUUACUAGUUACUACCAUUUCUUCGAUUCUCCACCGGCCAAAGGAGAAGCAUGAUUCACCCUGGCAAGCCUCUUUCCGCCAUAUAUCACUCUUCGUCAUUGGUUGUUGCAUUGGGAGCGAUUUCUGGCGGCCUAGCAUCGACACGAAGUGUUUUACAAAGCAGCUAUUGCAAACUCUAUAGAAUAUGUUUCAGCGGAAAUAAUAAAAGCCGCCGCUACAAGGUGAUAUUUUUUUCGGCGGUUCAAAAGGUCUUUACUGGCGGCCGGUUUAAUUUCCAGCACAGUCUUUACUGACCCCCAAUGCGCCGGCGGAGAUGGAAUUACCGGAGAAAGAAUAAGAAGCAACCAUCUUCUUUGUGGGUUCAAAUCAUUAACUUAGAGUUGCAAAUGUUAGUUUAGCAGGUGGUAAAUUACUUCUGGAGCUAAAUAGAGUAUUGCGACCUGGAGGUUUUUUUUGUGUGGUCUACCACUCCUGUUUAUCAUAAGCUUCCUGAAGAUGUUGAAAUAUGUAAUGGGUGCCCAAUGCAAAGCCUGGCAGAGAGAGUACAUAUAUUGAAAUAUGUGGGAUGCAAGGAAUUCCACCAGAUGAGUUGGCUGCUCAUUAUGGAGAGGAAGAGGAUGAUGUUCCAUCAAAGGCAGCCAAGGUGGAUGUCCCAUCAGCCCAGCUUGUAGGUGGAAUGGUGCCGCCUCCUUUGGGUCCAGGAUGUCCUCCUCGAUCAACCUUGGGCCCUAUGCCACGAAUGACUCAUUUCUGGGCUCUGCCAGUACUAGACAACUACAGCCCAUUCACUUUAGUACUUUACCUCAUUUUUAGGGUGGCCAAUCACUUUACUACUUCACCCCAUUUUUAGGGAUCUCCCUGGAUCUCUGGGAAAAUAUAUGAGACUAUGGACAAGGCAUCCACAGUUGUGGCAGUGAACUGCUGAAAGAGGAUGAGGUUAUAUAGCGUCAUGGUCACUUGUGUGGGGAGGUUGGGUCACUAUGCUUGCAGAGAAUGAAUUAGAGGGAGAAAGGGAGAGUGUGCGAGGUAGUGCACUCCCCUGAGGGAAAAAGAUGGGGAGGAAAAUCCCAAUAUAGUGAGACAGUGGGAAACAACUUUAUAUCAGGUUAUUUUAGAUUUUAUGAGCUGUAGUAGAUGUGUCCUGGUGAUUCCUCCAAACCAGAUGCUAGCAUCUCGUCUUAAUCAAUGCAGAGGUUGUAUUGCUCACUGAAAUUUCUGGCAUGGAAUAUUUCCUAAAGGUACCUUCUGAGUCAUCUUUAUUUUCUUAUUUAUAUGAGGAGCAAACAGAAUUGGCAUAAGCACAAUAGAGAAUGGGUCCUGCAUCCUAACAUGUUAGGCUGUUAGUCUCAUAAUGUUAUAGUAGUAAGCAAAAUGAAGUUUUUCUAUUGAUAUAUACUAACAAUGGGUGAAAAUUGAUUUGUCGGAGCUGAGAAAUCUCAGUUCCUUUCUCAUUUUCUUAUAUUCCUUAUUUUGCUUUCAUCUUCUGUAAGUAAUUUUAAAAACGAACACGUACUAAGGUAUCAAUGGUUAUUGAUUUAUGUUUUUUUAUUGAUAGUACAAACUCUGCCAAUUGUUUAU